GGAGACAGUACAUGGGAAGCCACCAAGUCUAAAGGAAACAUGGCACCUUCUGAGAGGCUGAUAGUGCUUUGACAUGGCUGUAGCCUUGCUUAGAAUCAAUUUUCCAUCUAAAAUCUCUCUGUUCUCACUCUUACAACAAUGAAAAGCCAUUGAGCAGUAUCAGCUGGGCAUAGAUAACAUCGAGUUUGCAUUUUCAAAGAUCCUCCUGGUCAAAAUGUGGAGUUAGGAGUGUGGAUGAUGUCCAAGACAUUUGCAGUUUUCCAAGUGUAACAAGAUGCAAGCUUGCCAGAGAAAAGCCAAAAUUCCUGAAAAUUUUGGAAUGUUUUUGAGCACACGGGACUUCACCUUAUACAUGGAGAUGAUGGAAAGUGAAAAAUUGAAGAUGACACCUGGAAUAGGGUCUCAGGCAAUCAGCCUACUCAACAUGAAGACAAGGAGGAUGAAGAGUUUUGUGAUAAUCCACUUCCACUUAAUGAAUACAGUUGGAGUCCAUCUUCAAGAAAUGUUUACAAAGAGCUUCUUCUGGAUGGUGUUUGAAUGCACACAUGCAUGAGAACAAGUUUAUUUUGCCACUACAUUUGAAUGAAACCUUGAUUAUAAAAUUCAAGGUUUAUAAUAUUAACAUUUUUUCCCUCCAAAAUUUGAAUAUGUUUACUCUUUAUCCUUGGGAAUUUACUUUUUGGUGGAAAAGUCUGUAAUUAGCUUGGUAUUUAUUUCUUAGUACACAAACGCAUGUAUUUGCUUGGAUGCCAGUAGAUAUUUUUUAUUCCUAUAAUUCAGACAUGUUGUUAGCACUCCCGCACUUCCUUAAUUUUAUCUCGACAAUGACAGGCUUUUUGACCUCUGAAUUCAAGUUGUACAUUCUAGUUUGCCAUUCAUCAAUCAGUCUCCAGUUAAUGACUGCAUUUGCUCCAAUUAUUCUUGCCCUUGACUUGACUCUGGUGAAGGAAGCGUUUGUAAUUCUCAUGUUGGGACUCUGUCCUCUUACUCAUAUUCACCCAUUGAGGUUUACCCCCUGUUCUUUGCUUCACAUCAUGGGAGAGAACCAUUUUUCUUCAUGUCACCAACUUGAUCUUCCACAGUGUCAAUUUCUCAGGAAAAUGGAACUAUCUGACUUCCUCCACUGAGGGCUGGAAAUUCUACCCUUGAAAUUCUAUCAAGCCAGAGAUUUUCCUUAUUUUUCUCCAGUUCUUUCUUUAUAUCCAUGCCAGCUCUGUGUAGUUCAUCACAUCAUCUUUUAAUAUCAACUCACAUGGCAGAUUGCUUUUGUUGAAACUAUGAUUUUAUUAUUAUAAAAGUUCUUCUGUAGAAAACUUUUUAAAGAAUGUUCUUUGAAUACAUUGGUACAACAUUCAAACAAACAGAAUAAUUCUUUUUUAAAAGUGAUUUAAAAAGAAAUAUAAAAAUAUAAAAGAGGAACUGUGAGAUUUGGGGGCCAGAGUGAG
rnacentral:lncRNA from 1 species